AUACGUAGGGGGCAAGCGUUAUCCGGAUUUACUGGGUGUAAAGGGAGCGUAGGUGGUUCGGUAAGUCAGAUGUGAAAGCCCGGGGCUCAACCCCGGGACUGCAUUUGAAACUAUCGUACUAGAGUGCAGGAGAGGUAAGUGGAAUUCCUAGCGUAGCGGUGAAAUGCGUAGAUAUUAGGAGGAACACCAGUGGCGAAGGCGGCUUACUGGACUGUAACUGACACUGAGGCUCGAAAGCGUGGGGAGCAAACAGGAUUAGAUACCCUGGUAGUCCACGCCGUAAACGAAGAAUACUAGGUGUCGGGGGUCAAAAGACCUCCGGUGCCGCAGCUAACGCAAUAAGUAUUCCACCUGGGGAGUACGUUCGCAAGAAUGAAACUCAAAUGAAUUGGCGGGG
rnacentral:rRNA from 1 species